rnacentral:lncRNA from 1 species
GGUGUGUGGGAAGGCAAAAAAUAUUGUUGAUCUUCAAAGAGCAUCUCCACAACCCACAGCCUUCUUCCCAAUAGUGUUAAUUCUGCAUUUUUACAGGGUAGUGUGUGUGUAGUUUUUGGCUAUUACUGGUGUAUUAUUUGGGGAGGGAGGGAUUGGGCAGGGAAGAAGGGAGAUGCAUAGGAUAUUUUCUUUAAAAUUUGGGGCCUGACUGGGUGAAACAAUGGAAAGAACAAGUAACUAAUGAUUUGGUUCUAUGUCCAGAAUAUUUUACCUUACUAAAAAAAAGUCAUUGGCACCAUAAAUGAGGACUGUGAGAGACUGUUUAAAAGCUGUGAAUGCCUGAAACCUAUAAGCCAAGGUGUUUCCUGCCUGAGUUAAUGUUGUUCCCCACAAAGGACUAAGCCAGUUCCUAAGUUACCAAAGCUGCCAUUCUGGAGAUAGAAACUGACUGAGGUAGGAAGGUCUUUUAUUGAAGAGUAUGCAUAGGCAGAUUAUUCUGUCUUAGAGGUGCUAAUUCUUGUAAUUAGACAAAAGACUGUUUCUUUUCCAAUUAUGAACUUAUAAAUAAAACCAGCUUGUCCAUCUAAGCCACUGGCUGAAGUACCAGGGGAGGGGCCAAAGGGGUACAGGAAAUGGAAGAGUAGGGAAAGAGGAGGGCCCAU